UUUUCCGCAAUGGACGAAAGUCUGACGGAGCAACGCCGCGUGAGUGAUGAAGGUUUUCGGAUCGUAAAGCUCUGUUGUUAGGGAAGAACAAGUGCCGUUCAAAUAGGGUGGCACCUUGACGGUACCUAACCAGAAAGCCACGGCUAACUACGGGCCAGCAGCCGCGGUAAUUCGUAGGUGGCAAGCGUUGGCCGGAAUUAUUGAGCGUAAAGGGCUCGCAGGAGGUUUCUUAAGUCUGAUGUGAAAGCCCCCGGCUCAACCGGGGAGGGUCAUUGGAAACUGGGGAACUUGAGUGCAGAAGAGGAGAGUGGAAUUCCACGUGUAGCGGUGAAAUGCGUAGAGAUGUGGAGGAACACCAGUGGCGAAGGCGACUCUCUGGUCUGUAACUGACGCUGAGGAGCGAAAGCGUGGGGAGCGAACAG
rnacentral:rRNA from 1 species